GAGGUCCACGUAGCAGAAGAUGCUUUUUCUGACUGAUGGAGAGGCUUGGAACUGAAUGAGUCUUGUGAAACCAGAAUUAAGGAGAAUGGGAGGUACUCCAAGCACAGGACCUGUGGACAAAUCACCUACAGAUUCUAUAAAAUGGAAAUAAUGUUACUUGUUGUGGUACUCUUAAACAACUUCAAAAUCUUCAAAUGGAAGGCAAAGAACGUACCAGUGUCUUUUAUACAUCAUAUAAAAGCCGUAUAUCACUAAACAUCAUUCAAGAACUGG